rnacentral:lncRNA from 1 species
AGCUAAAGUGCUUUUAUUCUGUUUAUGUUUUGAAAACACACUAAUAGGUGAUUUUGUAUGUAACAUGAUUAGCUGAACAUUUCUUUUUGUCAAAAUGUAGCUACUUCAGUCGCCUCAGUAUGUAUUUUGUAAAGGAUGAAAUGCUUAUGCUUAGUAUAAAUGCUUUUCUUUAUGCACUAGAAAUAUUAGCUUUGUUUUAGCUCUGUUGCCCCAUCGGGUAUCGGGAUGCCACAGUUGGCAUUAGAGUGCGAUUUCUCAAACAUCCUUUACGUCGAGGCUUAGGAAUUAGGAUAUAGUUAGAGAAAUUAAGG